CAAGAGGACAACAGUUGGAAACGACUGCUAAUACUCUAUACUCCUGCUUAACACAAGUUGAGUAGGGAAAGUUUUUCGGUGUAGGAUGAGACUAUAUAGUAUCAGCUAGUUGGUAAGGUAAUGGCUUACCAAGGCUAUGACGCUUAACUGGUCUGAGAGGAUGAUCAGUCACACUGGAACUGAGACACGGUCCAGACUCCUACGGGAGGCAGCAGUAGGGAAUAUUGCGCAAUGGGGGAAACCCUGACGCAGCAACGCCGCGUGGAGGAUGACACUUUUCGGAGCGUAAACUCCUUUUCUUAGGGAAGAAUUCUGACGGUACCUAAGGAAUAAGCACCGGCUAACUCCGUGCCAGCAGCCGCGGUAAUACGGAGGGUGCAAGCGUUACUCGGAAUCACUGGGCGUAAAGGGCGCGUAGGCGGAUUAUCAAGUCUCUUGUGAAAUCUAAUGGCUUAACCAUUAAACUGCUUGGGAAACUGAUAGUCUAGAGUGAGGGAGAGGCAGAUGGAAUUGGUGGUGUAGGGGUAAAAUCCGUAGAUAUCACCAAGAAUACCCAUUGCGAAGGCGAUCUGCUGGAACUCAACUGACGCUAAGGCGCGAAAGCGUGGGGAGCAAACAGGAUUAGAUACCCUGGUAGUCCACGCCCUAAACGAUGUACACUAGUUGUUGGGGUGCUAGUCAUCUCAGUAAUGCAGCUAACGCAUUAAGUGUACCGCCUGGGGAGUACGGUCGCAAGAUUAAAACUCAAAGGAAUAGACGGGGACCCGCACAAGCGGUGGAGCAUGUGGUUUAAUUCGAAGAUACGCGAAGAACCUUACCUGGGCUUGAUAUCCUAAGAACCUUAUAGAGAUAUGAGGGUGCUAGCUUGCUAGAACUUAGAGACAGGUGCUGCACGGCUGUCGUCAGCUCGUGUCGUGAGAUGUUGGGUUAAGUCCCGCAACGAGCGCAACCCACGUAUUUAGUUGCUAACGGUUCGGCCGAGCACUCUAAAUAGACUGCCUUCGUAAGGAGGAGGAAGGUGUGGACGACGUCAAGUCAUCAUGGCCCUUAUGCCCAGGGCGACACACGUGCUACAAUGGCAUAUACAAUGAGACGCAAUACCGCGAGGUGGAGCAAAUCUAUAAAAUAUGUCCCAGUUCGGAUUGUUCUCUGCAACUCGAGAGCAUGAAGCCGGAAUCGCUAGUAAUCGUAGAUCAGCCAUGCUACGGUGAAUACGUUCCCGGGUCUUGUACUCACCGCCCGUCACACCAUGGGAGUUGAUUUCACUCGAAGCCGGAAUACUAAACUAGUUACCGUCCACAGUGGAAUCAGCGACUGGGGUGAAGUCGUAACAAGG
rnacentral:rRNA from 1 species